UACGUAGGGUGCGAGCGUUAAUCGGAAUUACUGGGCGUAAAGCGCACGUAGGCGGCUUUGUAAGUUAGAGGUGAAAGCCCGGGGCUCAACUCCGGAACUGCCUUUAAGACUGCAUCGCUAGAAUUGUGGAGAGGUAAGUGGAAUUCCGAGUGUAGAGGUGAAAUUCGUAGAUAUUCGGAAGAACACCAGUGGCGAAGGGCGGCCGACU
rnacentral:rRNA from 1 species